CAAAAGGUGCAUCAGGUGUACCAGGUCCACGAGGUCCACCAGGUCAAUGUCGAGCAGGUCCACCAGGUCCACCAGGAAAACCAGGUCUACCAGGUCCAAAAGGUGGGGAGUGAUUCUGCUGUUAACACAGCAAGAGCCGCCAUCUUCCCUGCCUCCGUGCUAACACUGCAUCACGUGACAAGCUGAAUCACCCAACCACCGUCCUUCUUUUAGCACAUGUACAGCUAGUUUAUUUCGUCCAAAAUCAUUCAUUGUUAUUUUACAUGUAACUCCAAGCUUUUCCGAUGUUAAUGUAAUACCUGCAGAAACUCAUUCAGUUUUUUUAAUGUACGAUCUCGUUCUGUACGUAAAUGACUUGCUUAACUCACAGUUUCAAAAUUUGGAAUGUUUUGAAGUUGCUUGGAUAACGCUGACAUGCAGUUAAUAAACAAAGAUGUGUGGCCGA